UCCAGAACUGCGUGGGGGUCAGGGGCACCGAGGAUGGUCACUGGGGGAGACGGGACUCAGCGACUCCAGGGGUGCCGUGGCCCUUUGCACUGGUGGGGAAGGUCUGCGGAUGCUGGGGGGCUGGAGAGAUCGGGACCGUGUCACACCAACCCCCCUCUCCCCCACUGCAGAGCUCCAGCGGCUGUUCCCACGGAGCUCCAGCGGCUGUUCCCACGCUCCACCCCACUAUUCACGGCGACCUGGCGAGACACCGGCACCCUCCGCUCUGCGCGUCUCGCUCAGCUUCUCCUGCCUCCCACUGGCCCCAGGCUGGAAAUGCAGCUCGGAGCCGUUGCGAUCGCCCCAGCAGCCGGCAGGGGUCAGUCCCGUGCCUGAAGCGUCUCUGCGCUGCGCGAGAAGCGGAGAAGUGCACUAGCCCGACUCCCAGCUUAGUUAAUGUCACUGGCUUGACAGCGACUGUGGUGCAGCCUGGGCAAGACGGCGAGAGAUUUCCCUAGCAGGAGGGAAGGAGUGAGAAGCUGUGGUGAGAUACGCAGUUCAUGUCUUGCAGCUACAAGAGCUGGAUGUUGCUGCUGUUGUCUCAACUCCUGAUAUUAAGUUUGAUGUCAUCACAGUGCCAGGUUCCUCUCUCCUGACCGAGCUAUAGGCCACAUCUUUUCUCUGGGUAGUUCCCAAGAUAGUCCAAAUACAGAAGCAGCAAGUCACAGCCCUUCAGUCUCCCCCGCAUAAAAAUGGUUCUCAGCCUUAGAUAAUACUUAGCCAUGAGAGAUGGUGACUAUCCAAUCACUUUUUGUCUGCUGCAGAAACGAUUGUUGAGGAGGUCAACUUCUUUGACUCAGUGAAUAAAAUAAGAUUUAACAACUAAUAAAAUAAAUGCUUAACUA